rnacentral:rRNA from 1 species
CCUACGGGUGGCUGCAGUGGGGAAUAUUGGACAAUGGGCGAAAGCCUGAUCCAGCCAUGCCGCGUGUGUGAAGAAGGCCUUCGGGUUGUAAAGCACUUUCAGUGGGGAAGAAAGCCUUGGGGCUAAUACCCUCGAGGAAGGACAUCACCCACAGAAGAAGCACCGGCUAACUCCGUGCCAGCAGCCGCGGUAAUACGGAGGGUGCGAGCGUUAAUCGGAAUUACUGGGCGUAAAGCGCGCGUAGGCGGUCUGAUAAGCCGGUUGUGAAAGCCCCGGGCUCAACCUGGGAACGGCACCCGGAACUGUCAGGCUAGAGUGCAGGAGAGGAAGGUAGAAUUCCCGGUGUAGCGGUGAAAUGCGUAGAGAUCGGGAGGAAUACCAGUGGCGAAGGCGGCCUUCUGGACUGACACUGACGCUGAGGUGCGAAAGCGUGGGUAGCAAACAGGAUUAGAUACCCUGGUAGU